GAGAUGUGUGAUGACGCAUAUCAAUAAGCGGAGGAAAAGAAACUAACAAGGAUUCCCUUAGUAACGGCGAGUGAAGCGGGAAGAGCUCAAAUUUGAAAUCUUCAAGGUUCUACCUUGACGAAUUGUAGUUUAUAGAAGUGUUUUCUGUUAGUGGAGUGGCAAAAGUUCUUUAGGAAGGAAUAGGACAUCAUAGAGGGUGAGAAUCCCGUAUUUGGUCAUUCCUCCUAGCGUUGUGAUACACUUUCAACGAGUCGGAUUGUUUGGGAAUGCAGUCCAAAAUGGGUGGUAAAUUUCAUCUAAAGCUAAAUAUUGGCGAGAGACCGAUAGCGAACAAGUACCGUGAGGGAAAGAUGAAAAGAACUUUGAAAAGAGAGUUAAACAGUACGUGAAAUUGUCAAAAGGGAAGCGUUUGACACCAGUGUUGUUUUUCCGAAAAUCAAUUACGAAUGUUUUAUUUUUGAGGAGUUAUGACUUCAUCGGCUUGCUUCUCUCUUUAUCGAAACUUUCUUAAUGCACUUUUCGGUUAACAAGUCAACAUCAAUUUCUUUUGUUGUAAAAGGGUAUGAGGAAGGUGGCUUUCUUUUCGGAGAAAGUGUUUAUAGCCUUGUGCCUCUGCAAUCGGAGAGAUUGAGGUCUGCAGCGUAGAUCCUUCGGGGUUAGAUACGUUUGUGCUAAGUUAUAGCUUUUCAUAGACAACUUGUUGACUAUGAUUUAGUCUUGUAGCUUACUCGCUGACGCUAUUUUACCUACGCUUAGGAUGUUGAACUCUAUCACACACAG
rnacentral:rRNA from 1 species